UACGGAGGAUUCAAGCGUUAUCCGGAUUUAUUGGGUUUAAAGGGUGCGUAGGCGGUCGGAUAAGUUAGAGGUGAAAUCCCGAGGCUCAACUUCGGAAUUGCCUCUGAUACUGUUCGGCUAGAGAGUAGUUGCGGUAGGCGGAAUGUGUGGUGUAGCGGUGAAAUGCAUAGAUAUCACACAGAACACCGAUUGCGAAGGCAUCUGACGAAUCGGAGAUUGACGCUGAUGCACGAAAGCGUGGGUAUCGAACAGG
rnacentral:rRNA from 1 species